ACCUGGCAUCAUUUCUGAGACCACACGCUACAAUGACACAAACACUUAAACUGGUCCACGGUUGUGUCAUUCUGGUGUCAAUAUGGACCCGAGACCAGUGUCUAGCCAUUACCGUACCUUCUGGUGCAUGGGUAUGACGGGAACCAAUGGUGUUAAGCCUUGGGCUAUUUAAACCUCUCCUGCCAUUGGCAAGGUGUCCUGUUCUUGCUGACCCAAUAGCAUGUUUUUAUUUGGUUCUGACCUUGACUUGCUAAGGGAUUAUCCUAAUCUCGGUGCUCUUGACAUUUUGGCUUAUUUUACAGUUUAUCAUGUUUU